CUAAAACUUCACAUUGAUAAAAUUACAGCCGUCUAAUGUACUAUAAAACGGUGGGCAUUUACGAGUAACAAGUAAGUAAAGCAAUAGCAAUACUGAAACUUAAAAAAAACUUAAAAAUGAAGUUCCUUCUUUAUACUCUUGUGCUCGUAUUGGUGGCCAUUCAGGUAGUCUACUGCGAUGAUUGCAUUUGCCUUGUUCCAAAAGGCCCAUGCCCGUAUGGUUCAAAGGCGAGCGGAGCAUGUAGCAACAAUCGCAAGGGAGGAGUAUCGUGCUGCCCGGCCGGUGCCCCCGACCAAUAAUAAUGCACAUCACCUGCCUUCCUUCUUUAGAAGAUUACAAUAUGAUGGGGUAAAUAAAUUGUAACCCCAGACAAAUAAAGUGUAUUAAAUAAAGAAGUUUACUGCAAA